GGUCAAGAUUAAUUAAUUAGUUAAUUAAUUUUACGAAAGGUUCGUAUUGGGGUUUUUAAGUUGGUUUUGGGUUUCGGGGCCCAAAAGUGUUUUGGUCCAUAAGGCCCAUUAUGUUUAAGUUGUAUGACAACUAAAAAAAAAUGGGCAAUAAGCCCAAUCACAACAUAUAGGCCGGCCAUGGUGAGGAGAUGGUGAAAGUUUGCUUAAUUGCAAGUUUGCCACUCACCAAAGAAAAGUGUUAUAAAAGCAACUUUAUAGCUAUUUUGUAAUUGGGGUUUUCUUUGAGGCAAAGAGGUGAAACAUUUUCUCUCUUUCUCUCUACAAAGAGGCCG
rnacentral:lncRNA from 1 species